rnacentral:rRNA from 1 species
CCUACGGGUGGCAGCAGUAGGGAAUAUUGGACAAUGGGCGAAAGCCUGAUCCAGCAAUGCCGCGUGAGUGAUGAAGGCCUUAGGGUUGUAAAGCUCUUUUACCCGGGAUGAUAAUGACAGUACCGGGAGAAUAAGCUCCGGCUAACUCCGUGCCAGCAGCCGCGGUAAUACGGAGGGAGCUAGCGUUGUUCGGAAUUACUGGGCGUAAAGCGCACGUAGGCGGCUAUUCAAGUCAGAGGUGAAAGCCCGGGGCUCAACCCCGGAACUGCCUUUGAAACUAGAUAGCUUGAAUCCAGGAGAGGUGAGUGGAAUUCCGAGUGUAGAGGUGAAAUUCGUAGAUAUUCGGAAGAACACCAGUGGCGAAGGCGGCUCACUGGACUGGUAUUGACGCUGAGGUGCGAAAGCGUGGGGAGCAAACAGGAUUAGAUACCCUUGUAGUC